AUUGAACGCUGGCGGCAGGCCUAACACAUGCAAGUCGAACGGUAGCACAGAGGAGCUUGCUCCUUGGGUGACGAGUGGCGGACGGGUGAGUAAUGUCUGGGAAACUGCCCGAUGGAGGGGGAUAACUACUGGAAACGGUAGCUAAUACCGCAUAACGUCGCAAGACCAAAGAGGGGGACCUUCGGGCCUCUUGCCAUCGGAUGUGCCCAGAUGGGAUUAGCUAGUAGGGGGGGUAACGGCUCACCUAGCCUACGUUCCCUAGCUGGUCUGAGCGGAUGACCAGCCCCACUGGAGCUGAGACACGGCACAGACUCAUACGGGAGGCAGCAGUGGGGAAUAUUGCACAAUGGGCGAAAGCCUGAUGCCGCCAUGCCGCGUGUAUGAAGAAGGCGUUCGGGUUGUAAAGUACUCUCAGCGAGGAGGAAGGUGUUGAGGUUAAUAACCUCAGCAAUUGACGUUACUCGCAGAAGAAGCACCGGCUAACUCCGUGCCAGCAGCCGCGGUAA
rnacentral:rRNA from 1 species